AUUGAACGCUGGCGGCAGGCUUAACACAUGCAAGUCGAACGGUAACAGGUCUUCGGAUGCUGACGAGUGGCGAACGGGUGAGUAAUACAUCGGAACGUGCCUAGUAGUGGGGGAUAACUACUCGAAAGAGUGGCUAAUACCGCAUGAGAUCUACGGAUGAAAGCAGGGGAUCGCAAGACCUUGUGCUACUAGAGCGGCCGAUGGCCGAUUAGGUAGUUGGUGGGAUAAAAGCUUACCAAGCCGACGAUCUGUAGCUGGUCGGAGAGGACGACCAGCCACACUGGGACUGAGACACGGCCCAGACUCCUACGGGAGGCAGCAGUGGGGAAUUUUGGACAAUGGGCGAAAGCCUGAUCCAGCAAUGCCGCGUGCAGGAUGAAGGCCUUCGGGUUGUAAACUGCUUUUGUACGGAACGAAAAGCCCUGGGUUAAUACCCUGGGGUCAUGACGGUACCGUAAGAAUAAGCACCGGCUAACUACGUGCCAGCCGCCGCCGUAA
rnacentral:rRNA from 1 species